rnacentral:lncRNA from 1 species
UUUUUAGAGACAGGGUCUGCCAGACCCACUCGGUGUCCAGGGGAAUUAAGAGUCGCUGCUGCCUGGGAAGCUGGCAGCCAGGGUCCGGAAGAAGCCGGUUUGUGGCCCGUGAUGGUAUUGGUCUGACCUCGUCCUAGCAGCCACUGAGCGAAAGCACUGCCUUCUUGAACGUUCAGCUCAACCUGUGCGAGUGCCCUGUCCUCCCUGCGUGCCCUCUGGUGUGACUUCUUCCACACGUGGUCAAAUUGACUGCUUUCUGGCUCCUGGACAGCUGCAUUAAGAUCAAGAAGUAAGCUGGGCUUGGUACACACCUGUGAUCUCAGCACUCUGCACUCUAGGAGGCUGAGGCGGGAGGAUCACAAGUUUGAGUCCAUCAGUUUAGCCACUCAUUAAGACCCUGUUUCAAAAUAAAAAUAAGUAAAUAAGAAGCUACUGUUGUAGCUCAGUCCAAAGGCCCUAGGUUCAAUCUCCAGAACUGCAAAAAUAAAAAAUAAAAGCCAGGCUUGGUAGUGCACACCCGUAAUCCCAUCACGUGAGAGCCAGAGGCAGGAGGGUCACCGUGAGUUUGAGGCCAGCCUGCACUAUAGAUCCUGUCUCAGAAAAUUUUAGAAAAAGAAUAAGAUCAAGUUAAAUCCCAAAAGUAGUUACCAAGUUCCAUUUAUAGUUAGGGGGAAUGCUGGGGAUUUAGCUCAGUGGACUGCCGCCUGCCUCGCAAGCACAAGGACCCGAGUUCGAGUCCCAGUUUUAUAUAUAUGAGAGCCAUUAAGUGGGGGAAACAUAAGAAAGA